GGCUAUGAUUGUCCAAACGCAAUUCUUGUUAAAUUAAAAAUAUAUAAUCAAGGAUUGAGUAGGGACAUCAACGCU